AGUCUAAUUAAAACAAAGCAUUGCGAUGGCCGCUGGUCGGUGUUGACGCAAUGU
rnacentral:rRNA from 1 species